rfam:Haemonchus contortus, ISE/inbred ISE, WGS project CAVP01000000 data, contig: Hcontortus_11334
GGCACAAAAUUGAAGUAGAGUAGAUUAGUAUGGUCACCUGACCCUACGAAUCUUCUCGACUUCAAAUUUGGGUCC